GCAGGCCUAACACAUGCAAGUCGAGGGGCAUCGGGAUUGAAGCUUGCUUCAAUUGCCGGCGACCGGCGCACGGGUGCGUAACGCGUAUGUAACCUACCUAUAACAGGGGCAUAACACUGAGAAAUUGGUACUAAUUCCCCAUAAUAUUCGGAGAGGCAUCUCUCCGGGUUGAAAACUCCGGUGGUUAUAGAUGGACAUGCGUUGUAUUAGCUAGUUGGUGAGGUAACGGCUCACCAAGGCAACGAUACAUAGGGGGACUGAGAGGUUAACCCCCCACACUGGUACUGAGACACGGACCAGACUCCUACGGGAGGCAGCAGUGAGGAAUAUUGGUCAAUGGACGCAAGUCUGAACCAGCCAUGCCGCGUGCAGGAAGACGGCUCUAUGAGUUGUAAACUGCUUUUGUACGAGGGUAAACUCACCUACGUGUAGGUGACUGAAAGUAUCGUACGAAUAAGGAUCGGCUAACUCCGUGCCAGCAGCCGCGGUAAUACGGAGGAUUCAAGCGUUAUCCGGAUUUAUUGGGUUUAAAGGGUGCGUAGGCGGUUUGAUAAGUUAGAGGUGAAAUCCCGGGGCUUAACUCCGGAACUGCCUCUAAUACUGUUAGACU
rnacentral:rRNA from 1 species